rnacentral:lncRNA from 1 species
UGCCAUUCUAUCAAUUGUUAAUCUUCCAUUGCUCCUUCAAUAUAUUUGAAAAGGGCCCUUUGUCUGUACGAGUUGCCAAUUUUCCAUGUCAAGUUAUCAGUGUAAAAAAUAGGGCCGCUUGGGGACAUUUGAAUCAUUUGAUUCUUGAUUGAAUAUCCUGUAAAUGAAUCAAAAGGAAAAUGCAUGCAGAGUAUUAGUAGUGAAUUUAUGUGGAAUAUCAACAACGCCAAGACUUUCUUGUGAUUAAGGAAUAAUAAUAACAAUAAAAGCAAGGGAAGAACUUACCGUCACUGUCGAUAUAUCCAUCUCGAAUAAGAUUAGGAAUGCUGACUAAUUGGCGAAAAAUGGCAGCUGAUGCAGGCCAGAACAUUGCAACUCGGAUCCCCAAUUUGUCAGCAACUUCUCUUGCCCACCCCAUACAUCCAUCAACUACAAUACAAGUGAUAGGAUGAUUCUUGUUGAUGUCUUCUAUGAGAUCCUGAAGCUUUUUGGGCAUGGUGAUCAACAUGGCCUCGCAUAACUUGCCAAUGUCAGUUCUGUCAUCCUCAGGAUCCAUCCCAUCUGGGAUUGAGACCAAAUUAACACAUGAGCCUGUAGGAUCGCUUCUGCCACCCAUUGCACUAAGCACUCUCCUGAGGUUAAAGUCUGUAUUGACAAAAGUGACUUUGGAUCCAAGGUUGGCUAUUCUCCGAGCAAAGUGCAUUAAGGGGUUAACAUGUCCUUGGGCUGGAAAUGGUAGCAGUAGAACAUGUGAAUUUCGCAUUUUCCUUUUUGCGGUUUGAGAAACAGAGCAGAGAAAAUGCGGAAUCUUAUCUUCCUCCGUUGGCAACGAGCAAAGGAGUGGCUAAUAAUUUAUUGGCUGCAAGGGCAAAGGAUUAAACAGAAAUUGUAGAAUAUAACGGUAAUACCGACCUGGAUUUCCUGGUUGGUCUAUUAAUAAAUUAUUUGUAUUUUGACACGUAUAUUAAAAAAAUAAAAAAAUAUAUUAAUUUUUAUUAUAUUUUAUUUUUCUCUUUCUUAUUAAUAAAUCACUACUAUAUUAGAAAUCUAAAGGGCCACUGUUAUUUAUAACUUAAAAUAAGUAAUAGUAAUUAAAUUGUUUUGUUUUUAAAAACAUUGGGAUUGGGAUUGGGAUUCAGAUUGAUUUAUAUGUACUUACCACCGAAUUAAAUCUGUGAGUUAUAUAACCAAUAAUUUUAUUAUAAUCAUUAAUUAUAAUGAAUUAUAAAUACUAUAAUUAAUAUCUAACUAUAUGUUUUAUGUUUUACAUAUAAUAUAAUAAUUUUUCAUAAUUCAAUUAAUGGGAAGAGGAGAAGAAACCUCCCAUUAAAACCGAAACACACCUAUUAAAAAUCUAAUAAAAUAAAAUAAGAAUUAGGUUUCUUAAAACAGAACAUACACCAAUUAAAAAUCUAACAAAAUAAAAUAAGAAUCAGAUCUUUUAAAACAGAACACACCGAUCAAAAAUCUAAUAAAAUAAAAUAAGAAUCAGAUCUGUUGAUAAGUAUUUUCACAAGCACAUGAAAUCGUUUAAAUAAUAAAGUGAUGAGUAGAGUUGUCAAAUAAUUGAUUUUUAAAUAUAAAAAAUAUAUGUAAUUCUAAUGUUAUUUAAGUUAUCAAAUUAAAUUUUGAAUUAAGGAGAGAACUCUAAUCUAAUUCUUGAAAAUGGCACAAUUUAAUGAUAAAGAUGGAUACAGGCUUUUUCUUCAACAAGGGAAAUAAAGCAGAUAAAUAUAUUAUAAUUAAUAUUUAUUAUUUAUAGUUAUUUCCCACGAGUUUUCAUAUUUUAAUAAAAUCAAAUAAUUUUUUUAAAUUUCCAUACUAUUAAAUCUAUCUUUCUCAACAUAGAUAACUAAUAAUCAUUCAUUAAAAUGGCUACUAUAUUAUAGGAGAGCUAAUAAAAUAUAAAUAUAAAAUACAAAUAAGAGCUAAAUUUACAUAAUUAGAGAGCUAAAUAAAAUUAAAAUAAGAAUAAAUUUGAGAGAAUAAAAAAAUUAAAAGGAAAAAUGUAUAUAAAAAAUGAAAAAUGCCCUUUGAGACAUCAUGCUGUAAAGGUGAGCGGUGGGUAAAUUUUCCAUUGAGGUAUGAGUUUGUUGCUUCAAUAACAUCAGUUUAUUUGAGGGAUAUAGAGAUGAAAAACAAAAAGAACAAGAGAAAACUUGAAAUGAACACCAAAGGAAAUGAGAAGUUAAAUGUGUUGGAAGGUUUUUUUUUCCUUUUUUUUCUAUAUUAUAUCAAUCUCAUUUACAAAAUUGAAUAUAAAUAUACAGAGUAUAUGAGAGACAUUAAAAAAACUAUUUUAGCUAUAAACAAAAUCUAAGGCUAAGAAUGUGUUGUGUUCUAUGAAAAAAAGGAUUUUAAUCUGCUCUUAUAAUUUCUCCACUAAAAACUGAUUUGACAGCUUAUACCAACACUCUUCCUCAAGUUGAUACAUAAUGUUUUGGAUGUCCAACUUGUCAAGUAAGUUGUAAAAAGUUUUACUCAGAUACAGUUUUUGUGAUGAUAUCUGCUAGUUGGUCUUCAGAUUUAAUAAAAGAGAAACAAAUUAUUUUUUUCUUCAAGAUUCUUCUUGAUGAAGUGUCAACCCCCUCUACAUAUUUGGUAUGAUCAUGUUAAACAGGAUUCGACCCACCUCUAUAUGUUUGGUGUGAUCAUGUUGAACAGGAUUGUAAGAGAUAUCAAUUGUUGUCUUGUUGUCACAAAAGAAAUUUAUCUCAGAGUCAGUAGCAAAACCAAUCUCAGUCAAUAAUCUUUUUAGCCAUAGAAGUUCACAAAGGCCUUUUGCCAUUUCUUGAAACUCAGCUUCAGCACUAGAUAAUGCUACUAUCUUCUAUUUCUUACUUCUUCAAGUAACCAGAUUGCUUUCUACAAAAUUAAAAUAGGUUGAAUGGACUUUCUAUUAGAAGUAUUCCUGUCCAAUCUGCAUCCGUAUAACCAUCAAUACUCAUAUGAUUAUUCUUUGCGAACAUAAUUCCUUUUCUGAGAGAGACUUUAGAUAGGAAAGAAUUUGAAUCACUGCAUCCAUAUGACUUUUACUUGGGUAAUGCAUUAAUUGGCUUACUACGCUCACAAAGAACAUUUCUUUCGUAUAUUGAUUUUUCUAAAAAAAUAAAAUAAAAAAUUCUUGGAUUCUCAUAAUUCUGUGGCGGUAAACAUUUUUGGUAAGUGGUCCUUUGAUUUGUUUACUCCAAAAGAUAUAGCUAAAAAAUGUAGGAUGCGGUCGCUGAUGAACCCUGAUAAGGCUCUCACCGAAGGCUUUGAAGCUAUAGCUUCAAUAGCAGAUGGUCUAAGCAUCACUCUGGUUGAACGAAAAUCUCUGAGAGGCAGGAGCCUAAACGUUGUAUUGGCUGCUUGCUUGUUCAUUGCCUGCAGAGAGUAAAUCUCCGAGGACGUUAAGGGAGAUAAGUAGGGCCACAGCUGGGGUUUCAGGGAAGGAAAAUAAAAUAGAAGAACAGGGGCUAUAAAGAAGCAUGUGGAGAUUGAUACUGGGACUUUGCAUGCUAGUGAACUUGUUAGACGGUUCUGUUCUAAUCAUGGCAUGAAAAAUCAAGCAAUGAAGUCUGUUAAGAAGCUCUUGAAAACUCCAAAGAUAUUGAUGAGGAACCAAAAUCCACCUUGGUCUUGGCAGCCAUUAUUCAUAUAAUCGCUCAGCUUUCAACCACUUGCAUUGCAUAUCACUGAUUUUAGAAAAGGACACAGAAAAUUGACCAAUCAUAAUCUUUCUUCAAUCAUUACAAAUGGAACUUCCCUUGAAUUGGGAUUUCUUUUGUGUUCUUUAUGGAUUUAACUUAAGGUAGUAAGGAUUUGCAGACAUUGCAAUGGUUGUUGAACUUGAAGUUGCAGAAGAAACAAUCAAGAAGGCAUAUAAAGAUAUGAAUGCUUCAAAGCUCAUAGACAGUUGGUACCCUAAGGAGGUGAACAUCCAAAGAAAAGGCUUGCUUGUCAGUUUAAGUCCAAGUGCCAAUUCUUGAAGUUGAGAUUGGUCAAAAAUGGUGAAACUGCCAAAUGCUACAUAUAUCGCUGACCGGGAAGGCUUUUGAUCACGCCAUUUUAGGCACGAGGAGUCCUCCGGCCAGAACUGUGCUCCUGAAUUCCCUGUAUCGUAGUAAUAAUGGGCCAAUUGGGAGGAGCUUUGGAACCGAAGAAAAUACUUCAGCCUCAAGUUCAUGAAAUGAGUUGCAUAGCUGCCAUUCUAUCAAUUGUGAAUCUUCCAUUGCUCCUUCAACAUAUUUGAAAAGGCCCUUUGUGUGUACGAGUUGCCAACUUUCCAUGUCAAGUUAUCAGUGUAAAAAAUAGGGCCGCUGGGGACAUUUGAAUCAUUUGAUUCUUGAUUGAAUAUCCUGUAAAUGAAUCAAAAGGAAAAUGCAUGCAGAGUACGAGUAGUAACUUUACGUGGAAUAUCAACAACAUCAAGACUUUCUUGUGAUUAAAGAAUAAUAAUAACAAUAAAAGCAAGGG